AUUGAACGCUGGCGGCAGGCCUAACACAUGCAAGUCGAACGAGUGGCGGACGGGUGAGUAAUGUCUGGGAAACUGCCUGAUGGAGGGGGAUAACUACUGGAAACGGUAGCUAAUACCGCAUCCCAUCGGAUGUGCCCAGAUGGGAUUAGCUAGUAGGUGGGGUAAAGGCUCACAUCGGCGACGAUCCCUAGCUGGUCUGAGAGGAUGACCAGCCAAACUGGAACUGAGACACGGUCCAGACUCCGACGGGAGGCAGCAGGGGGGAAUAUUGCACAAUGGGCGCAAGCCUGAUGCAGCAAUGCGGCGUGUAUGAAGAAGGCCUUCGGGUUGUAAAGGACUUUCAGCGGGGAGGCGUUACCCGCAGAAGAAGCACCGGCUAACUCCGUGCCAGCCGCCGAGGUAAUAC
rnacentral:rRNA from 1 species